rfam:Caminicella sporogenes DSM 14501 genome assembly, contig: EJ28DRAFT_scaffold00024.24
GGGCGCAUAGCUCAGCUGGGAGAGCACCUGCCUUACAAGCAGGGGGUCAUAGGUUCAAGUCCUAUUGCGCCCA